CUGAAGGCUGGCUUGAACAAUGCUCUGCAGUCUCCUUGCCCUGCUUCUGGGCCCUCUCUUGGGUGUCAGAACUCAGACCAUCCAUCAGUGGCCACCUACCAGGGUACAGCUUGUGGGCAGCCCACUCUCCCUGGAGUGCACCGUGAAGGGAACAUCUAACCCCAACCUAUACUGGUACCGGCAGGCUGCAGGGGGGACCCUCCAGCUGCUCUUCUACUCCUAUGGUGCUGAUGAGAUACACUCUGAGGCACCUCAGAACUUCAAAGCAUCCAGGCCCCAGGAUGGCAAGUUCAUCCUGAGUUCUAAGAAACUCCUCCUCAAUGACUCUGCCUUCUACCUCUGUGCCUGGAGUCUCACACUGGCCUGGGUGGGGCAGACAUCUGUGCAAAAACCCCACCCUCUCCUGAGUCUUCACCACCUUCUCUGGGAGCCCUCACUCAGGGACUGGGUGGAGGAUAUUUGUCACCCGGUUUCUGACUGUCAGCCAAUGUGA